AAUUAAAAUUGCUCGACAUAAUGAUGAAACAAAUUUCUCUAAGACUUGGAAAAUGUUUAUAUUUAAACAAUAUAUUACGCCACACAAAAAGAUACUACAACAAUAUAUCUACCAAUAGUAAAAGUAGAAUUGUUAAUGAUGCGAAAGAACCUUACUUCUUAGGCGUGCACACCAAUUUUACCAAUGAAUUAAAAUUCAUGGACAAAGAAAGUUAUGAUCCUUUACCAACAUUUAGACUUUUAGACUCAUCAAAACAUGAGUUACAAUUACCUAUUGACCUCAAGCUAGACGAACAAACUUUGGUUACAAUGUAUCAUAAAAUGAUUACUUUGAAUAUAAUGGAUAAGAUUCUUUAUGAAUCUCAAAGACAGGGUCGUAUAUCAUUUUACAUGACUAAUACAGGGGAAGAAGCAACUCAAAUUGGUUCUGCAGCUGCUCUUACAUUAGAAGAUGUUAUAUAUGCGCAAUAUCGCGAAGCUGGUGUCCUAUUGUGGCGUGGUUAUUCCAUCCAAGAAUUUAUGCAUCAAUGUUAUGGCAAUUUUAAAGAUACGUCUAAAGGAAAACAGAUGCCUGUUCAUUAUGGAUCAAAAAGAUUGAACUUUGUUACUAUUUCUUCUCCUCUAACAACGCAAUUACCUCAAGCUGUAGGUAUGGCAUAUGCGCUUAAACGAUCCAAGAAAAAAACAUGCGUAGUGUGUUAUUUCGGCGAAGGAGCUGCUAGUGAAGGCGAUGCUCAUGCAGCUUUCAAUUUUGCUGCAACAUUAGAAUGUCCCAUUGUUUUCGUAUGUCGAAAUAAUGGUUAUGCUAUUUCAACUCCUUGCUCGGAACAGUUUAAAGGAGAUGGAAUUGCUGCGAGAGGUCCAGCUUACGGUAUACGUACAAUUCGUGUGGAUGGUAAUGAUGUUCUCGCUAUGUAUUAUGCGACAAAAGCUGCUCGCGAAUAUUGUAUAAAGACAGGAAAACCAAUCUUAAUAGAAGCCAUGACUUAUCGAAUUGGUCAUCAUAGUACUUCUGACGAUAGCUCUGCAUAUCGUUCGACCGAUGAAAUAAAAAGUUGGAAUCAUUGUACACCUAUAAAUCGAUAUCGUGAUUAUUUAGAGUCAAUUAAUCUGUGGUGCGAACAACGAGAACAGGAGUUAAAUGAAUCUGUAAAAAAAUCCAUUUUAAUUGCUUUUGCGGAUGCAGAGAAGGAACUUAAACCUUAUUGGAAAGAGUUAUUCACGGAUGUGUAUCAUACAAUGCCAAAGCACAUAAGAAAACAAAUGUGUUCCAUGGAAAAUCAUGUUGCAGAAUUUUCUGAACAUUAUCCAUUAAGUCUUUUUAAAUCAACUCAAUAAUACCAAAUAACAAUAAUGAUUAGACCAAUUGUAUUUACCGUUCCACACUAAUAUUGUGUAUUUUUUUCUACUGUUUGCUGCAUCAAGUAAUAAAUUAUGAAGUAAAUUUGGCUGAUGUGGAUCAAUCUGCUCUAUGGGAGGAUAUACAUUUCCUACAAUGAAAGUUUCAUAUUAACAUUUAUAUGAACUUGCAGAUACAUAAUUAUUGUUUUAAUAAAAUAUACCUUUUAGCUCUAA